GUGCCGUAGCCUAGUGGUUAAGGCCAUAGACUAGAUUUUUUUUUGUGAUAUUCCCGCGCAGGAUCGAAUCCUGCCGACGACG
rnacentral:tRNA from 1 species